rnacentral:rRNA from 1 species
UACGAAGGGGGCUAGCGUUGCUCGGAAUCACUGGGCGUAAAGGGUGCGUAGGCGGGUCUUUAAGUCCAGGGGUGAAAUCCUGGAGCUCAACUCCAGAACUGCCUUUGAUACUGAGGAUCUUGAGUUCGGGAGAGGUGAGUGGAACUGCGAGUGUAGAGGUGAAAUUCGUAGAUAUUCGCAAGAACACCAGUGGCGAAGGCGGCUCACUGGCCCGAUACUGACGCUGAGGCACGAAAGCGUGGGGAGCAAACAGG